UACGUAGGGACCAAGCGUUGUUCGGAUUUACUGGGCGUAAAGGGCGCGUAGGCGGCGUGACAAGUCACUUGUGAAAUCUCCGGGCUUAACUCGGAACGGCCAAGUGAAACUGUCAUGCUAGAGUGCAGAAGGGGCAAUCGGAAUUCUUGGUGUAGCGGUGAAAUGCGUAGAUAUCAAGAGGAACACCUGAGGCGAAGGCGGGUUGCUAGGCUGACACUGACGCUGAGUGCGCGAAAGCCAGGGGAGCAAACGGG
rnacentral:rRNA from 1 species